AUGCCGCCUCACCUCCUCCCUGGAUCUCGUGCCAUCCUCCCCCACACACUGCCGCUGACGAAGGGAGCAACCACCGGUGUGGACUGCUCCACCACCUACCGGCCUUCACCACUCCCCUCCACCAACAUCGGCCCCGCCCCAUCCACAGAGCCUGGCGUCCCCCAUCUCCCUCCACCUUCCUCUAUGCGUGAUGGACGCCAUGGCACGGGACCGGACGAGUAG
rnacentral:rRNA from 1 species